AACGAACGCUGGCGGCAUGCCUAACACAUGCAAGUCGAACGAGACCUUCGGGUCUAGUGGCGCACGGGUGCGUAACGCGUGGGAACCUGCCCUUAGGUUCGGAAUAACUCCCCGAAAGGGGUGCUAAUACCGGAUAAUGUCUUCGGACCAAAGAUUUAUCGCCUUUGGAUGGGCCCGCGUUGGAUUAGCUAGUUGGUAGGGUAAAAGCCUACCAAGGCGACGAUCCAUAGCUGGUCUGAGAGGAUGAUCAGCCACACUGGGACUGAGACACGGCCCAGACUCCUAAGGGAGGCAGCAGUGGGGAAUAUUGGAAAAUGGGCGAAAGCCUGAUCCAGCAAUGCCGCGUGGGUGAAGAAGGGCUUAGGGUUGUAAAGCUCUUUUACCCGGGAUGAUAAUGACCGUACCGGGAGAAUAAGCCCCGGCUAACUCCGUG
rnacentral:rRNA from 1 species